ACUGUUGCUAAUGUGCAACUCU
rnacentral:miRNA from 11 species